AGAGUUUGAUCAUGGCUCAGAGUGAACGCUGGCGGCAGGCCUAACACAUGCAAGUCGAGCGGCAGCACGGGUAGCAAUACCUGGUGGCGAGCGGCGGACGGGUGAGGAAUACAUCGGAAUCUGCCUUGUCGUGGGGGAUAACGUAGGGAAACUUACGCUAAUACCGCAUACGACCGAGAGGUGAAAGCGGGGGAUCGCAAGACCUCGCGCGACAAGAUGAGCCGAUGUCGGAUUAGCUAGUUGGCGGGGUAAGAGCCCACCAAGGCGACGAUCCGUAGCUGGUCUGAGAGGAUGAUCAGCCACACUGGAACUGAGACACGGUCCAGACUCCUACGGGAGGCAGCAGUGGGGAAUAUUGGACAAUGGGCGCAAGCCUGAUCCAGCCAUGCCGCGUGGGUGAAGAAGGCCUUCGGGUUGUAAAGCCCUUUUGUUGGGGACGAAAUCGUACGGGUGAAUAUCCCGUGCGGAUGACGGUACCCAAAGAAUAAGCACCGGCUAACUUCGUGCCAGCAGCCGCGGUAAUACGAAGGGUGCAAGCGUUACUCGGAAUUACUGGGCGUAAAGCGUGCGUAGGCGGUUUGUUAAGUCCGUUGUGAAAGCCCUGGGCUCAACCUGGGAAUUGCAGUGGAUACUGGCGAGCUAGAGUGCGGUAGAGGAUGGCGGAAUUCCCGGUGUAGCGGUGAAAUGCGUAGAGAUCGGGAGGAACACCCGUGGCGAAGGCGGCCAUCUGGACCAGCACUGACGCUGAGGCACGAAAGCGUGGGGAGCAAACAGGAUUAGAUACCCUAGUAGUCC
rnacentral:rRNA from 1 species